rnacentral:rRNA from 1 species
GAUGAACGCUGGCGGCGUGCCUAAUACAUGCAAGUCGAGCGAACAGACGAGGAGCUUGCUCCUCUGACGUUAGCGGCGGACGGGUGAGUAACACGUGGAUAACCUACCUAUAAGACUGGGAUAACUUCGGGAAACCGGAGUUAAUACCGGAUAAUAUAUUGAACCGCAUGGUUCAAUAGUGAAAGACGGUUUUGCUGUCACUUAUAGAUGGAUCCGCGCCGCAUUAGCUAGUUGGUAAGGUAACGGCUUACCAAGGCAACGAUGCGUAGCCGACCUGAGAGGGUGAUCGGCCACACUGGAACUGAGACACGGUCCAGACUCCUACGGGAGGCAGCAGUAGGGAAUCUUCCGCAAUGGGCGAAAGCCUGACGGAGCAACGCCGCGUGAGUGAUGAAGGUAUUCGGAUCGUAAAACUCUGUUAUUAGGGAAGAACAAAUGUGUAAGUAACUAUGCACGUCUUGACGGUACCUAAUCAGAAAGCCACGGCUAACUACGUG